UACGGGGGGGGCAAGCGUUGUUCGGAAUUACUGGGCGUAAAGCGCACGUAGGCGGACUCUUAAGUCGGUGGUGAAAUCCUGGAGCUCAACUCCAGAACUGCCUUCGAUACUGGGAGUCUCGAGUCCGGGAGAGGUGAGUGGAACUGCGAGUGUAGAGGCGAAAUUCGUAGAUAUUCGCAAGAACACCAGUGGCGAAGGCGGCUCACUGGCCCGGUACUGACGCUGAGGUGCGAAAGCGUGGGGAGCAAACAGG
rnacentral:rRNA from 1 species